AAAGCAAUGAUUUUAUGUAUUUUUAUUUCAAAAUUGUAAUUUUGGUUGAACAACUUUUCUGUUGAGAAGAGUUUCAUUUGAAUUUAACGGUUUUUGGAGAUUUGGUUUCAAAUGACAUUUCAAUUUGUUGACAGCUUGUAUUAAAUGAUAAUGCAGUGCUGUUGUCAAAAGAUAAAAGGAAGACAUUUUCGAUAUAUAUUUUGGUAUUGGUUUUUCUUAUUUUGUAUGUGUUAGUUUUUGCUGAAAAAACAUUAGAUUUCCAAAUUUUCCAAAAUUUUUUCUCUCAAAUAUUGGGUAUAAAAAGGAAGCCAUUGCCCAAAAUCUUUCCUUUUUGCCUGCUGCUACCUACCAGUUUUCUUAAAAAAAAAAAAAAACGUCGUUACUCUGCCGGAAAAUUUAUUUAAAAAAAAUAAAGAAGUUUUUUUUUGAAAUUUUUUAAAUAAAUUUGGCUUAAAUUGUUCGCAUUUCGUGAAAGGAUCUUUUGGAUUUUAUAUCCACAAAAUUAUAUGUAACAGGAUAAUAAAAUAAUUAACGCCAAUAUCACAAAUUUCAACUCAAAAGUAGGCAGAAAGUGUUUUUAUUUACCCAGCGGCAACAAAAGUCAAAGAAAAAGAAAAUCGUUUGUUUUUAUUUACAAAAAGCACACAAACACACCUACGUCAAUUUGAUAUAUUUGACAAAAUUCUUCCUAGCGACGAAACCUCCAGGCACAAAAUCUUCGCCUGGGAAGGCUUCGUCCACAAUCGUGCCUUCUUCGGCGUAAAACCAAACCUUCAGGGAAAGCUUUAGGUUGCAAUACUAAGGUCUUAGAGACGAGGAGAAAAGUGUGAAAAGUGCGGGGAAAAUGUCAAUUGUUUAAAGAAAAAAAAAUCCAAAAGAACACUCCAAAGUUAUAAUAAAAAUCAGAAAAAUAAUCUGUGUGAAAGUUCGUGGAGAGUAAUUUUGAAAAUUUCAUAAAAAGUUUCACAAAAAUUUUUAAUUAUUUAGAAAAAGAAAAAUUUAAAAA